UACGUAGGGCGCAAGCGUUGUCCGGAAUUAUUGGGCGUAAAGAGCGUGUAGGCGGCUUGCUAAGUCUUGCGUGAAAUCUCGGGGCUCAACCCCGAGCGGUCGUGGGAAACUGGCAGGCUAGAGUGCGGGAGAGGAGAAUGGAAUUCCUGGUGUAGCGGUGAAAUGCGUAGAUAUCAGGAGGAACACCUGUGGCGAAAGCGGCUCACUGGACCACAACUGACGCUGAUGCACGAAAGCUAGGGGAGCAAACAGG
rnacentral:rRNA from 1 species